rnacentral:rRNA from 1 species
AGAGUUUGAUCCUGGCUCAGGACGAACGCUGGCGGCGUGCUAACACAUGCAAGUCGAGCGGAGAUCAAUGAGAGCUUGCUCAAGUUGAUUUUAGCGGCGGACGGGUGAGUAACGCGUGAGCAAUCUGUCCUACACAGGGGGAUAACAGCUGGAAACAGCUGCUAAUACCGCAUAAGACCACAGAACCACAUGGUACAGGGGUCAAAGAUUUAUCGGUGUAGGGUGAGCUCGCGUCCCAUUAGAUAGUUGGCGGGGUAACGGCCCACCAAGUCGACGAUGGGUAGCCGACCUGAGAGGGUGAUCGGCCACACUGGGACUGAGACACGGCCCAGACUCCUACGGGAGGCAGCAGUGGGGAAUAUUGGGCAAUGGGCGCAAGCCUUACCCAGCAACGCCGCGUGAGGGAAGAAGGUUUUCGGAUUGUAAACCUCUGUCCUGGGGGGCGAAGAAAGUGACGGUACCCCGGGAGGAAGCCCCCGGCUAACUACGUGCCAGCAGCCGCGGU